UUGCUCUUCAACGAGGAAUGCCUAGUAAGCGUACGUCAUCAGCGUGCGUUGAUUACGUCCCUGCCCUUUGUACACACCGCCCGUCGCUACUACCGAUUGAAUGGCUGAGUGAGGCCUUCGGACUGGCCCAGGGAGGUCGGCAACGACCACCCAGGGCCGGAAAGUUGGUCAAACUCCGUCAUUUAGAGGAAGUAAAAGUCGUAACAAGGUUUCCGUAGGUGAACCUGCGGAAGGAUCAUUAAAGAGUAAGGGUGCUCAGCGCCCGACCUCCAACCCUUUGUUGUUAAAACUACCUUGUUGCUUUGGCGGGACCGCUCGGUCUCGAGCCGCUGGGGAUUCGUCCCAGGCGAGCGCCCGCCAGAGUUAAACCAAACUCUUGUUAUUUAACCGGUCGUCUGAGUUAAAAUUUUGAAUAAAUCAAAACUUUCAACAACGGAUCUCUUGGUUCUCGCAUCGAUGAAGAACGCAGCGAAAUGCGAUAAGUAAUGUGAAUUGCAGAAUUCAGUGAAUCAUCGAAUCUUUGAACGCACAUUGCGCCCCUUGGUAUUCCGAGGGGCAUGCCUGUUCGAGCGUCAUUACACCACUCAAGCUCUGCUUGGUGUUGGGUGUUUGUCUCGCCUCUGCGUGUAGACUCGCCUUAAAACAAUUGGCAGCCGGCGUAUUGAUUUCGGAGCGCAGUACAUCUCGCGCUUUGCACUCAUAACGACGACGUCCAAAAGUACAUUUUUACACUCUUGACCUCGGAUCAGGUAGGGAUACCCGCUGAACUUAAGCAUAUCAAUAAGCGGAGGA
rnacentral:rRNA from 1 species